CCCGUCGACGCGGGAGAACCGACCCCGUGCCGGUGCCGAAGGAGCAACCGCCCCGGAAACUCUCAGGCCCCAGGACCGCAUCGACCGG
rnacentral:ncRNA from 2 species